rnacentral:rRNA from 1 species
UGAACGCUGGCGGUAUGCCUAACACAUGCAAGUCGUACGAGAGUUUUUAACUCUAGUGGCGGACGGGUGAGUAACACGUGAGAAUUUACCUUUAGGAGGGGGAUAACAAUCGGAAACGAAUGCUAAUACCCCAUCUGCUUUCGAGUGAAAUGGAUUUAUAUUUAUCCGCCUAGAGAGAAGCUCGCGGCUGAUUAGCUUGUUGGUAAGGUAAGAGCUUACCAAGGCGACGAUCAGUAUCUGGUUUGAGAGGACGAUCAGACACACUGGAACUGAGACACGGUCCAGACUCCUACGGGAGGCGGCAGUGGGGAAUUUUCCGCAAUGGGCGAAAGCCUGACGGAGCAAUACCGCGUGAGGGAAGACUGCCUAUGGGUUGUAAACCUCUUUUUUCAGGGAGGAAUAAAUGACGUGUACCUGAAGAAUAAGCAUCGGCUAACUCC